AGAUAAGAAAGAGUUGGUAUCAGGCUUAACGCCCAAGACACCUAGCCCAGCCACACCCCCACGGGCACGCAGCAGUGGUUAAUAUUAAAUAUUUGCGCAAGCAAGAUUUAGUCAUAGUCAAAAAGGUUGGUCAAUUUCGUGCCAGCAACCGCGGUUACACGAAAGACCUAAGAUGAUAGAUUCGGCGUAAAGCGUGACUAGGGGCCUUAAACAUAAAGUUAAACCAUAAUAUAGCAGUUGUAUGCCAAUUUACUAGGGAAACCCAAUAACGAAAGUAACUUUAUCAUAUCCUGAACUCACGACAACCAGGGCACAAACUGGAAUUAGAUACUCCACUAUGCCUGGUCUUAAACUUUGAUUAAUCCGCCAGGAUACUACGAGCAUUGCUUAAAACCCAAGAGACUUGGCGGUGCUCUACAUCACCUAGAGGAGCCUGUUCAAUAAUCGAUGAUCCACGAUCUACCUCACCACUUAUUGCCAAACCCGCCUAUAUACCGCCGUCGCCAGUCUACCUCAUGAGAGAUAAAGUAGGUCCAAGGGCUUAUUGCCAAUACGUCAGGUCAAGGUGUAGCUAAUGAAGUGGGAAGAAAUGGGCUACAUUUUCUUAAAUAGAACACACGGAAGAUCACUAUGAAACCUGAUCAGAAGGAGGAUUUAGUAGUAAAAAGAAACCAGCAAGUUCUUUUAAAAUCGGUCCUAGAGCGCGUACACACCGCCCGUC
rnacentral:rRNA from 1 species